GUAAAAUAUCUAGUCAAUAAUUUUUUCGUCUAUAGCGAUUUCGGCUGGGAUGCACUAGUGUGCACUGGUGCAUAUAAAGACCGUUGUAUAAUGAAUAGCGAUUUCGGCUAGGAUACACUAGUAAACAUAAAACUGUCAUACACAAUUGCCGUAAAAAUGUAUAAAAAACAGGUUAAAUCGUAUAAUCUCCAAUACAUUUUAUUGUACUGUUAAUAAAACAUGUAUUUCAUAAUUUGCAUUUCGUUUUUGCACUCAUAGUGAUUUCGGCUGGGACGCACUGACUGCAUAUUUCGGGUUUUGGUACAACUGGUAUGUUCGACUGGUCGAAU